rnacentral:rRNA from 1 species
GACGUAGGGCGCGAGCGUUGUCCGGAUUUAUUGGGCGUAAAGAGCUCGUAGGCGGUUUGUCGCGUCUGCUGUGAAAGACCGGGGCUCAACUCCGGUUCUGCAGUGGGUACGGGCAGACUAGAGUGCAGUAGGGGAGACUGGAAUUCCUGGUGUAGCGGUGAAAUGCGCAGAUAUCAGGAGGAACACCGAUGGCGAGGGCAGGUCUCUGGGCUGUAACUGACGCUGAGGAGCGAAAGCAUGGGGAGCGAACAGG